UGGGAGAUCGUCUAAUGGUAGGACUCCAGAUUCUGGCUCUGGCUAUCGGGGUUCGAAUCCCUGUCUCCCAGCCA
rnacentral:tRNA from 3 species